rnacentral:snRNA from 13 species
AGCUUUGUGCAGUGGCUGUAUUGUAGCCAAUGAGGUUUAUCCGAGGUACAAUUAUUGCUAAUUGAAAAAUGAGAGUAAGAUUUUU